GAGACAGAAACAGAUAAACCUGGAGGGAGCUUCAUAUAGACCUCCUCAUCCAAAUCACCAUGCAAGAAAGCAUUGUUAACAUCAAGUUGGAAAAGUUUCUAAUGCUUCUUAACAGCCACUGCAAUAAGACAUUUCACGGUGGACAUUUUAACCACAGGAGAAAAAGUGUCAGUGAAAUCGACCCCUUCAAUUUGAGUAUCCCCUCUAAUAACAAGUCUAGCUUUGUAUCUUUCAGCACUACCAUCAGCCUUAUAUUUGAUCUUAUAAACCCAUUUGCAGCCAAUAGGUUUCUUACCAGAAGGAAGGGGAACAACAUCCCAGGUACAGUUGGCAUCCAAAGCAUAGAACUCCUUUCUCAUGGCAUCCUGCCAUACUGGAACUGAUGCAGCUUGAGAGUGAUAAAGAGGUUCAGUCUCCAGAGGAGAAGAAGAAGACCUAGAGAAAGCAGGAAGAUGGCAAACAUAAUCCUUAAGGUAAGAAGGAGGAUUGUGCUAUCUUCCAGAUUUCCUGGGAACAACAGCUGAUGUGGAAGAAGGCAAAGCAUGAGGGGAAAUGUCAGGGUUGAAAGGAGGACUAGAAAUUGGAUAGGAAGAAGGAGAAUCUGAAACAGAAGGUGAAGGUGGAGAGGAAGAGAUGGGAAUAGAGAAAUCUGGCUCAGAAAGGGAAUGCUCAAGAGGAGGAACAAGAUGAAAAGAAGAAGGAGAAACAUGAGGAGUAGAGGUAACAGAAGAAACAAAUUUGAAAGGAAAAGAGGUUUCAUGAAAGAUAACAUCCCUGGACACAAAGCACUUUUUGGAACUGAGAUCAUACAGUCUAUAACCCUUUUUAGCAAAAGGAUACCCCUGAAAGAUAACAUCCCUGGACACAAAGCACUUUUUGGAACUGAGAUCAUACAGUCUAUAACCCUUAUUAACAAAAGGAUACCCCAGGAAAAUACAUGAAAUGGCCCUAGGUUUCAACUUGUCCCUUUGAGGAAUUGGGACAGUAGCAUAGGCAAGGCAGACAAAAGUCUUUAAAUGGGAGUAAGUGGGUGUCUUUCCAUGCAAGAUUUCAUAAGGGGAUUUGCCAUGAAGAAGCAUGGAGGGUAUUCUGUUAAUAAGAUAGGUAGCAGUCAAUAGGAAAUCUCCCCAGAAAGAGAUGGGUAAACCAGAUUGGAAAAGUAAAGCUCUACAAGUUUCAAAAAGAGUCCUAUGUUUCCUCUCAACAACACCAUUCUGUUGAGGAGUAUGUGGGCAAGUGGUUUGGUGUAUAAUGCCAUGUUGACUAAAAAAGGAUGCACCAGCAAUACUAGAUACCAAUUCUAAAGCAUUGUCACUCCUAAUAGUUUGAACAAUAGCAUUAAACUGGGUCUUAACCAUACAGAGAAAAGACCUAAGCAUGCAGAAAACAUUGCUUUUAGACCCCAAUAAAUGUGUCCAGGUUGCUCUAGAAAAGUCAUCAACUAUUGUGAGAAAAUAUCUAGAGCCAGAAGAGGUGGGAGUGUGAUAAGUGCCCCAAGUAUCUACAUGAAUCAAUUGAAAAGGUCUAGAUGUACUAGUUGUACUUUCAGGAAAGGGAAGUCUAGUUUGCCUAGCCAUAGGACAGGUAGAACACUGAAAAGGCUGUUUAGAAGCAAAUGGAAAAGAUAAGGCAGAAAUGUGUUUCAUGUUUGCAAAUGGAAUAUGACCCAACCUCAAAUGCCAAAUGUAAUUCAUGUCAGUGGCAACAGUAUUAUUACAGAUGGAACUAUUUACAUUUGAAGGUAAACUAACAGCUUCAUGACUAGAACAGUCAGGCUUACAAGAAUUAGAAGAAGAAGAACAUACAGAAACAGAAGAAAAACAAUUAGAAGAAGAGGAAGGUGGAACCCAAGCAAGCUUGUACAGACCAGCCUCCUCUUUACCAAGAUCCAGAGGCAUCCUCAGAGAAGGGGCCUGUAACAUGUGGAGGAAACAGGAAGUUGCAN
rnacentral:lncRNA from 1 species